UUUAGCUCAGCUGGUUAGAGCACUCGGCUUAUACCCAAGGGGUCACAGGUUCAAAUCCUGUAG
rnacentral:tRNA from 1 species